rnacentral:rRNA from 1 species
UACGUAGGGUGCGAGCGUUAAUCGGAAUUACUGGGCGUAAAGCGUGCGCAGGCGGUUUUGUAAGCCAGAUGUGAAAGCCCCGGGCUUAACCUGGGAAUGGCAUUUGGUACUGCAAGGCUUGAGUGCGGCAGAGGAGACUGGAAUUCCCGGUGUAGCAGUGAAAUGCGUAGAUAUCAGGAAGAACACCGAUGGCGAAGGCGCUCUGCUAGGCCGCAACUGACACUGAGGGACGAAAGCUAGGGGAGCGAAUGGG